AGACCGGUGCCAGCCGCCGCGGUAACACCGGCGGCUCGAGUGGUAACCGUUAUUAUUGGGUCUAAAGGGUCUGUAGCCGGCCGGAUAAGUCUCUUGAGAAAUCUGGCAGCUUAACUGUCAGGCUUUCAGGAGAUACUGUCUGGCUCGAGGCCGGGAGAGGUGAGAGGUACUUCAGGGGUAGGGGUGAAAUCUUGUAAUCCUUGAAGGACCACCAGUGGCGAAGGCGUCUCACCAGAACGGACCUGACGGCAAGGGACGAAAGCUAGGGGCACGAACCGGAUUAGAUACCCGGGUAGUCCUAGCCGUAAACGAUACUCGCUAGGUGUCGGCCACGGUGCGACCGUUGUCGGUGCCGUAGGGAAGCCGUGAAGCGA
rnacentral:rRNA from 1 species